rnacentral:rRNA from 1 species
AUGGACAACGUCGCUGAGCACCGCGUGCAGAUGCCGGCGGCUCCUCCCGCCGGCAAGGCCAAGGCCAUGCCGGAGAAGCGGCUGAACCGCUUCGUGCACUUCGUCGCCAUGAUAGAGAGGAUGGGCAACGCUCUGGGUACGCUGACAUUUACCUGGGCCACCGUCGUCCUGCUCGGCGGCUACCCGACGGUGCUCCGUCCCGGUGACGAUUUUUGGAUGGUGACGACCAUAGUUUUCCUGGAGGCCGCGAGGAUGUUCAGCCAUGGAAACAAUAGGCCAGAUUACCAGUUGUUCUUCCGCACGAGAGGUGCUUUCAAGUCUCUUGGCUGGAAUGGGCUGAUCUUCACCGUAUGUCUUAUGGAGGUUAUGGUGUGCGUAGUGAUCUUGUAUGGACAUUGGAUACCACCAAUGCCAUUUGUUCUUCUGGUAAUUCUUGCAAUUGGCCGGUUUCUGACUCCAGGAGCUGCAAAACUACUCAUAUCCAAUGAACUAUCCUGUGCAAUAUCAUUAUGGAGCCCCAUGGUAGCAAUUAUAUUGUUAGGUCCCUCUGUACCAUAUGGCUAUGGUUUUAGGUACAAGGAUUUCUCAAUUCACAGGUUUAUUACCAGAAACCCAAUGUCCAGAUGGGCAGCAUACCUAGUACUAUUCAUGGUGGUGCUCCUACUUACAAUCAGCAAACUUCGGUUCGCAGGUGUAGUCAAACUAGUAGAUUCUGCUCUUGGCCGCAAACUGGCAUGUUGGCGCCGAGUUAUCAUAAAUUUGUGCAUGUUUGCUGUCAUAGUGAUGUUGGUGUCAACUUUUCAUGGCUCAGUUCGGUACAUGAUCAUCGCAUUCCAAGCAUAUGCUCUAUUGAUAGUUUCAUUUGGCAACCUCCAAGUUCCAGCAGCAGUAUUGCGCAUUGGGUUGGCACUGUCGCGCCUUAUACCACAGUGUUACUAUGGUGAUGAUGAACGUGUUGACAGGAGAACACUCGGAGAUAAGACAAACUUUGUGCCAUCUCUCAAUAUAUUGUAUGCCAUGGUGGUUGGCCAAGGAAUACUCUACAUUGUUGCCUGCAUCCUUGAGGUCUUUUCAUUCAUCCUCCGGCGACCGCUCAUCCAUCUUGCUGGAUUUAGAGGUCCCCUAGGAGUGGAAUAUGUCGAUUUGUACUAUGCAUAUGCAUUCGAAAAAUGCAUGAGAGGGGUUGUGCUUGCUCCAAAGAAAACCAAUCUCAUCACAUUUUCAAUCGAUUGUAUAGAAUCAAACUCACCAAAGAUGCAAUUCUACGGGGUUCAGAUGAUCCACGCCUUUUUGAAAAAGGAGCCAUUGAAGAUUAAAGCCAUCUCAAAACUCACCACUUCCACAAAGACAGUGACCACAGUGCUUGAUAUGUUGGGUUGGACUAGUAGAGGGAACAAAGAUAUUAGAUCGUUUGCCGCAAAGGUCAUGGCUGAGCUUGCUAAGAGUAUCCGAAUUGCCUCUAUACCUGGGGCGAUGCAGCUCAUAGCUUCACUUCUAGACACUACCCACGAAACAGAAAUAAAGGAUCCUCUGCUAGACACUAAUAGCCAAGUGGCCAAACAAGAUGCCCUAGUUGAGCAAGUUAGCAAGGGCAGACAGAACUCCGUGAGGCUUAAAUGGUGGAAACAGAUGGUAAUAUACUGCUUGAUACCGGCAGAGGAGCCACCAUAA